rnacentral:rRNA from 1 species
UACGUAGGGGGCUAGCGUUAUCCGGAAUUACUGGGCGUAAAGGGUGCGUAGGCGGUUCGUUAAGUUAGGAGUGAAAGCCCCGGGCUCAACCUGGGAAUUGCUUCUAAAACUGGCGAGCUAGAGUAUGGUAGAGGGUGGUGGAAUUUCCUGUGUAGCGGUGAAAUGCGUAGAUAUAGGAAGGAACAUCAGUGGCGAAGGCGACCACCUGGACUGAUACUGACACUGAGGUGCGAAAGCGUGGGGAGCAAACAGGAUUAGAUACCCCCGUAGUCCCUGAGCGGG